rnacentral:lncRNA from 1 species
GCACUGACUGCGUCAAUCAUCCUUCAAGCCCCACUUCAGGAAAUUCUUUUGACAACUCUAUGAAACAGAUAGUAGUAGAACAAAGUACUAUGAUAAAGAGAAAACUCGGGCUCAGAGAAGCGAAGUCAGUGGCCCAGAAUUGCCCAGCUGUAGGAAACAUAGUCUGAAUAUGAUUGCAGAGUCUAUCUGACUGCAAAGCUAGUGCUUUUCCCACUGUAUCACACCACACUCAGAUAUUAUACAUGAUAGGAAGUGAUAAAUGCUCUGUAAGGGACAUGAGUACAGGGCCCAUAGAAUUUAUGGAGUUGAUAGAAUUAUGGGUAGUAAUAAAGGUAGUGGUGGUUGUAGAAUUCUGCGGUCAAGCUGCUUCUAGAAAUCUUAAUUUGGGGUUGGAGAUGUUCAUGGCAUUUGAAUAGGGUGUCUAUUCCAUGCGCUUUCAUAGAUACAGGCCCUGCUUUGAGGUCAAGGCUGUUCACUGUCCAGGGACACCGCGUCAAAGGAGGAAGAAGGAGGUGCCUGAGCUGUUCUCCACAGGACCCGACAAACUGCAGGAUCAAGCCAGGAUCUUCAACUGGUGGUUCACACCCUCUUUUUUGCACUAUCUCGGCAGUGGCUGUGGGGCGAGACCCCCUGAGACAAGGCUGGUGCUCCAGUAGGCUUGCGAAUGAGAACGGGGCCAGCCUUGGCCCUUGGAGGACUGUGCUGCUGGAAUCCUUGCCCCUCCCUAGGCACCCCAUACUCCUCCCCAACCCUGAUUCAGUUUCAGCUCAUAGCCCUGAGCAUGAUUGCAAAGCAUAAGCAACGCAGCCUGGUUGUCAAGACAACCGGUACUGUGUUAGAGUAUCCACCAAAUAAAGUUUCAUAGACCAAGAGAGCAGCCUCAGAGUCUAUCCUUCCACGAGGCUUAUAGACAUCUAUGUCAGCUGGAUAUUAGUGGGAUGUGGGGAACCCCAGGGUGCCCUGGGGCUCCUUCCGCACAUGAUUCAGGGCUCUGUUCAAUGAUCACCCCUUGAGAGAGGUCUUCUGUGCCCCUACCCCUACCCCACAGCACAUGGCACAUCCUCCACUCACCAUCCUCUGACCCAGCUUACUGCUUAUAAAGUUAAGCAACUCUUAAGCAGUUCAUCAGCGAAUCCUCAUCAGUAGCCUAUGAUUUAGCUCAGUGAAUAUGGUCUUUGCUGCACAGAUGAGGAAAUGACCAGAGAGGUUAAGUAAUUUGUAUCAAGUCACACAGCUCAUGCUCAGGCC